rnacentral:rRNA from 1 species
CCCGGGUCUUGUACACACCGCCCGUCACACCUGGGAGCGGGUUCUGCCAGAAGUAGUUAGCCUAACCGCAAGGAGGGCGAUUACCACGGCAGGGUUCGUGACUGGGGUG